rnacentral:rRNA from 1 species
CGGCCGGGAACUCAAAGGAGACUGCCAGUGAUAAACUGGAGGAAGGUGGGGAUGACGUCAAGUCAUCAUGGCCCUUACGACCAGGGCUACACACGUGCUACAAUGGCAUAUACAAAGAGAAGCGACCUCGCGAGAGCAAGCGGACCUCAUAAAGUAUGUCGUAGUCCGGAUUGGAGUCUGCAACUCGACUCCAUGAAGUCGGAAUCGCUAGUAAUCGUGGAUCAGAAUGCCACGGUGAAUACGUUCCCGGGCCUUGUACACACCGCCCGUCACACCAUGGGAGUGGGUUGCAAAAGAAGUAGGUAGCUUAACCUUCGGGAGGGCGCUUACCACUUUGUGAUUCAUGACUGGGGUGAAGUCGUAACAAGGUAACCGUAGGGGAACCUGCGGUUGGAUCACCUCCUUACCUUAAAGAAGC